UACGGGGGGGGCAAGCGUUGUUCGGAAUUACUGGGCGUAAAGGGCUCGUAGGUGGUCAACUAAGUCGGACGUGAAAUCCCUCGGCUUAACCGGGGAACUGCGUCCGAUACUGGAUGACUUGAGUUCGGGAGAGGGAUGCGGAAUUCCAGGUGUAGCGGUGAAAUUCGUAGAUAUCGGGAGGAACACCGGUGGCGAAGGCGGCGACCUGGGUCGAUACUGACGCUGAGGUGCGAAAGCGUGGGGAGCAAACAGG
rnacentral:rRNA from 1 species